GACGAACGCUGGCGGCGUGCUUAACACAUGCAAGUCGAACGGUGACCCAGGGCUUGCCCUGGUGAUCAGUGGCGAACGGUGAGUAAACACGUGGGCAACCUGCCCCCUGACUUCGGGAUAACUCCUCGAAAGAGGAGCUAAUACCGGAUACGACCACUUCGGACAUCCGAUGGUGGUGGAAAGUUUUUCGGUCAGGGAUGGGCCCGCGGCCUAUCAGCUAGUUGGUGGGGUAAUGGCCUACCAAGGCGACGACGGGUAGCCGGCCUGAGAGGGCGACCGGCCACACUGGGACUGAGACACGGCCCAGACUCCUACGGGAGGCAGCAGUGGGGAAUAUUGCGCAAUGGGCGAAAGCCUGACGCAGCGACGCCGCGUGAGGGAUGAAGGCCUCGGUUGUAACCUCUUUCAGCAGGACGAAGCGAAAGUAGACGGUACCUGCAGAGAAGCACCGGCUAACUACGUGCCAGCAGCCGCGGUAAU
rnacentral:rRNA from 1 species